rnacentral:tRNA from 1 species
GCGCCCGUAGCUCAGCGGAUUAGAGCAGGUGCCUUCGAAGCACAAGGUCGGGGGUUCGAAUCCCUCCGGGCGCACCA